rnacentral:rRNA from 1 species
UAGGGAAUCUUCGGCAAUGGACGAAAGUCUGACCGAGCAACGCCGCGAGAGUGAAGAAGGUUUUCGGAUCGUAAAACUCUGUUGUUAGAGAAGAACAAGGACGUUAGUAACUGAACGUCCCCUGACGGUAUCUAACCAGAAAGCCACGGCUAACUACGUGCCAGCAGCCGCGGUAAUACGUAGGUGGCAAGCGUUGUCCGGAUUUAUUGGGCGUAAAGCGAGCGCAGGCGGUUUCUUAAGUCUGAUGUGAAAGCCCCCGGCUCAACCGGGGAGGGUCAUUGGAAACUGGGAGACUUGAGUGCAGAAGAGGAGAGUGGAAUUCCAUGUGUAGCGGUGAAAUGCGUAGAUAUAUGGAGGAACACCAGUGGCGAAGGCGGCUCUCUGGUCUGUAACUGACGCUGAGGCUCGAAAGCGUGGGGAGCAAACAGG